rnacentral:lncRNA from 1 species
UACACCACAGCUCACAGCAACAAUGGAUGCUUAACCCACUGAGCAAGGCCAGGGACCGAAUUGGAGUCCUCAUGGAUGCUAGUUGGUUUAUUAACCGCUGAGCUGCAAUGGGAACUCUACCCCACAAGCUUUAAAACGGCCCAUAUGGUGGGCCUUCAGCAGCAGACCCAACACACACGGUCACCCAGAGGGUGGGGACCAGCCCCAUGCAAGUCAUCAACCAGCGCCGCCUACAGAACAAACCCCUGUACCACAUGUUUGUCCCUAAGACUACUGUAAAACCAAAGGGGACCCCUGGGCACCUGGCAGGGUCAUGGGGAGGAACCCCACCCAUGCAUGGGGAUGGACCAAGUGGACUCUGGCCUCCCAAGGCAGGGCAAUGACACCUCAUCACAGAGGAAGUGGAGAAGGUCACCCAUCACUAUCACUAUUCUAGUCCAGGAGGUCAGAUCCACAAUGCGGAAGUUCCCAAGAGCAGGAAGCAGAGACUGAAAGAGACCCCCAGAAAGCCAGCUUAGGAGUCUGCAUGAUAGGAUGGGAAUGAAUAUAGGACAAGAAGGAAAUGUUCCAUUUCAGAUUUCCUCCCGGGGAAAAACCGUUCCGAGGAAAUACUUUGAUAAGCAGCCUGUGGUGUGGGGGCAAAAUUCCAGGAGCACGCACAAGUAAUAAGGACGGCAGACACACGUCCUUCUGAGCCCUGGAGGAUGCUCUGCUUCAUGGGAUUUGGGUUUGGGAGUUGGAGAGCAGGACUGAGGAAAGAGCUGGGAAGCUUGGCACAAAGAGGAGAGCGAUUCUGGAUCCUGAUAUGAUGAAGAGCCAGGUGUCCGGGCACCGCACAGAGGACAACUGGGAAUGACCAGCAGUGGUCCCUGGUAAUCAGAAGUUUCUACUGAGGAUGCUAGAAAGUCACUGUGCUGUGGCCCAGGGCUCAUCCCAAGUGCCUUUCAGGGUAAGGACUUCUGGAGUGCAAGGGCGAUGUGCCCAAGUGCCUUUCAGGGUAAGGACUUCUGGAGUGCAAGGGUGAUGUCUCGAAUGACACGUGAGCAAAUACCUCCAGCACGCCUAGAAGCAGGGGCCAGGGGAUGAGGCAGAGCUGGCCUCAGGCUGCAGAAAGAACACAGGGUAGGAGAUAGAGGCUUGAGGGCAAGGCCCAGCUCUGCAGCUAAUGAUGUUUGAGACCCAGAAAAGCUCCUUCCUGCUCUCUGCUUUAUUCACUCAACCCUAAAAAGGGCUCAUGGCCUUUCAGCCCUAACAGUCUAUGACUCUGAUUUUAGUUCAACCCUCUCCUCAACACAGCAUGGGAAGGAGGGGGCUAUUAGCAGAGCAUGUGUGCAUUUACAUGGAAUGGGUUUGCUGCCACUCCAGCAUAACGAACUUUCUCACAGAUUACAUGUGCAAGGAACUGCUCAGAUUGAACUGUAAGAUCACUUCGGAUGCACUAUUGAUUUUCAUUAUUUUCGUUUUCUCCAUCCCUGAGUUCCCAGCAAUCAUCCCCCAGUUUGAUGUCACCCAGAAGAAAAAUCUUGGCCUCCUCUUUCUAAUAAUCAGUUCAUAAAGUAUCCUUCAAAGACAAUCUUCUGGGAGUUCCCAUCAUGGCUUAGUGGAAACAAGUCUGACUAGCAUCCAUGAGGACGCAGGUUCAAUCCCUGGCCUCACUCAGUGGGUUAAGGAUCUGGUGUUGCCAUGAGCUGUGGUGUAGGAUGCAGGCUCGACUUGGAUCUGGUGUGGCUGUGGUGUAGGCCAACAGCUACAGCUCCGAUUCAACCCCUUGCUUGGGAAUCUCCAUAUGUCGCGGGUGCAGCCCUAAAAAGACAAGGAAGGAAGGAAGGAAGGAAGGAAAAAAGGAAGGAAGGAAGAAAAGAAGGAAGGAAAUCUCUGUUAUGAAAAAAUUAUCCUGCAAGAGCACAAGGGUGUUUGGGGCCUAGUAUGACUAUCCAUCUGGGAGCGCUCAGCAGCCCUUCUCCUUCAAGGCUCUUCCAAUACCAACUUUCCCACACCUUUCCCCUUGUUUCCCUGCAGUGACCGAGCCAUACACCCUCUAAGCAGCACCAGUUCUCCAGAAGGGUAAGCAAGUUGGAUUUCCGGCAAAGGAGACCUCUUCUGACUUGGCAAGGGCUAUGCAGGGGACUGAGGGUCCUUUUCAGCCUUUCUCUGGAUCCAUUUUCAUCCUAGGCGAGAUGAGCUCUGCACACAAACACUGGGAUGUUACUGUCGGACACUGCUCUGCCUCUGUCAUUGAGGGGCAAUCACAGGUAGCUGUGCACAGAAUGACUUCAACGAUAGAGCAACAAGAUGCACAACUCCAAGGCUAUUUUUUUUUUUUUUUACAAAGAAUAAAAACGAAAACUAGAAAGACUGGCUCACCUAAAAAACGUUCAGGACAGUGGGAAAUACGUCAAGGGACUAUGAUGGAGGGAAAGACCACAGAGAAGGGCGACUCCAGGGCUUAAUGGGUUGGCCUUGGGGACCUGAGACAAUGCAUUCAUUCAUAGGUGUACAAAGGCCCAGUCACUGUCCUAGGUGCUGAAUCCCUACAUAGCCAAAAACAGCCCACAAGGUCCCUACUCUCCCAGCACUUACAGUCUGGUAAGGGGAAACCAACAAUUCAGUCGUAAACAUACCAUAGACAAGAUGACACAGAAAACUGUAAAUGCUGUGAAGAAAACCAAACAGGAUGGAGUGAUUGAGAGACACCGGCAGAGUCAGAGAGGCCUCUCGCAUAGCCUGAGUGUUUAGCCUCUUUUCAGAGGUGACCUUCAGUAGCGACCUGUGGACUGAGAUCAAGGCAGCCAUGCAAAGAUCAGAACAAGGGCAUUCUGAACAUCAACGACAGACCAUACAAAGGUCCAUCGGUGACUUCCAGGGCAGAAACGAGGUCUGUGUGGCUAACACACAGGAUUUUUGUUUGUUUGUUUUUGCUGUCUUAGAAGUUUAGGAGGCAAUGCCUAAGAAAUAUAAGUGCCAGGAGCACUCCACUCUGCACCAUGAGACACAUUUUCGCUUUUGUUUGCCUAUGAUGAUUUUUUUCUCCCCCUACUUCUUUAGAAAAACAAAUGCUGAGCAGAGGUUAGGAACAAAUCUUGGCAUAAAUGUAAACAUCUACUCUGUGGAGACACAAGCAAGAAAUGUGUUUGUUUCUAAUCUGCAAAAGGUAGGAGAGGCCUUAACUCAACUGUUUGCUGGGAGACCCAGACUUUACACGUAUCCCAGUGGGUCCUGAAGCCAACUUAAUGGAUCGUCCUCGUUGAGGAUUCUAGUGUCUUUGGUGGAAGCGAGUGAGCAAAAGCAAACUGAGAUAUUAGAAGAGGCAAAAUAUCUAAGAAGAGAAACUGCAGAUAGAGUCGAGGAAAUGAAUGGGCUGCCGGCAGCAAAUAUCACUUCCGUGAUUCCUGGGAAGGAAUCACGUGACUACCUUCAGUGCGCUAGCUUGCUGCGUGGAUGGCCUCUAAUGAGGCACAGUUUCUAACCAGUUGGAUUUCACAUUGCUCAGUGCCAGCUUGGUGAUUUGUUUUGCAUGAAACACUGCAGCCUGUUAACCCAGUGAGUUACAGUUCUAGGUAGGCAGCCAGAAUCUCACAGCCCUGAAACCCUUUUUUCUUAAAAUAAAAAGUGAUGAGGAUGAGGAGGAUGACAAUAAAGGAAAUGAGUUCAAUCAGGUUACCAUCUUGAAAUCUUGAACGAGUCAGGCUAAAAUGACCCAAAUAAUGGACCUCCUUUUUUUUUUUUUUUUAAUCUUUUCUGGAUCAUGCCAGGGAAGAGCUCGAUCCAUUUUUCAACGUUUCUCUGCCCUCUCUGCUCUUGUUGGGGAACGAGGCCUCUCCAUUUCUUUCCUUUCGGGCUCAAGAUAAUUUAGAGUUCUGGAGGAAGCAGGACACUUUGGGACUCUGGCCUGGGACAGACUGAGUGGUGAUGCUGAGGUGUGAGAAUUCAGGAGCAGAGGCAUCACACUUCAUUCAUCUCCACUGUACAAUGUAAAUGUUCUCCUGUGUGUGACACCACAAAAGCAGGCGUUUUCUUCUUUGCGAGAUGGAACAAGAACCAUCCCUAGCCAUAGUCGGUAUGGGGUCUCUCUUGCUGAUUCAAAUGAACUUAAAACCUUGGGCUGAGUGGAGUCUGAUCCCCUGCACCUGCCUCACUGAGCUGCAUCAGUGUCUGACGUUUACCAGGAAACCUCUGUGGUUCCUCUCUCCACAUUCCUCCUCCUCCUCCUGGAACAGAAGGGAACAGACAGAGUAUACUAGCUUUGAUACCAGGAAGGCAUGUCCCUGCUCCCUUUACAAGGGGACAUUUGAUGGAUAAAAUAGCUCACAUUCAAGCUUCCUCUCCAACAGGUCAGGACAAGACAACUCAGUGGUCACAAAUGGAAGGUAGAAGGUGGGUCUUGGUUUGCUGAGUUUCAGCUGCAACUGUUAACCUCAACGGGAACUGUAGAGAGCUAAUCCGAACACUGGCUCCAUCAAUGCAUGUAACUUAAAUGAC